rnacentral:rRNA from 2 species
CGAGCGAACAGAUAAGGAGCUUGCUCCUUUGACGUUAGCGGCGGACGGGUGAGUAACACGUGGGUAACCUACCUAUAAGACUGGGAUAACUUCGGGAAACCGGAGCUAAUACCGGAUAACAUUUGGAACCGCAUGGUUCUAAAGUGAAAGAUGGUUUUGCUAUCACUUAUAGAUGGACCCGCGCCGUAUUAGCUAGUUGGUAAGGUAACGGCUUACCAAGGCACGAUACGUAGCCGACCUGAGAGGGUGAUCGGCCACACUGGAACUGAGACACGGUCCAGAUCCUACGGGAGGCAGCAGUAGGGAAUCUUCCGCAAUGGGCGAAAGCCUGACGGAGCAACGCCGCGUGAGUGAUGAAGGGUUUCGGCUCGUAAAACUCUGUUAUUAGGGAAGAACAAAUGUGUAAGUAACUGUGCACGUCUUGACGGUACCUAAUCAGAAAGCCACGGCUAACUACGUGCCAGCAGCCGCGGUAAUACGUAGGUGGCAAGCGUUAUCCGGAAUUAUUGGGCGUAAAGCGCGCGUAGGCGGUUUCUUAAGUCUGAUGUGAAAGCCCACGGCUCAACCGUGGAGGGUCAUUGGAAACUGGGAAACUUGAGUGCAGAAGAGGAAAGUGGAAUUCCAUGUGUAGCGGUGAAAUGCGCAGAGAUAUGGAGGAACACCAGUGGCGAAGGCGACUUUCUGGUCUGUAACUGACGCUGAUGUGCGAAAGCGUGGGGAUCAAACAGGAUUAGAUACCCUGGUAGUCCACGCCGUAAACGAUGAGUGCUAAGUGUUAGGGGGUUUCCGCCCCUUAGUGCUGCAGCUAACGCAUUAAGCACUCCGCCUGGGGAGUACGACCGCAAGGUUGAAACUCAAAGGAAUUGACGGGGACCCGCACAAGCGGUGGAGCAUGUGGUUUAAUUCGAAGCAACGCGAAGAACCUUACCAAAUCUUGACAUCCUUUGAAAACUCUAGAGAUAGAGCCUUCCCCUUCGGGGGACAAAGUGACAGGUGGUGCAUGGUUGUCGUCAGCUCGUGUCGUGAGAUGUUGGGUUAAGUCCCGCAACGAGCGCAACCCUUAAGCUUAGUUGCCAUCAUUAAGUUGGGCACUCUAGGUUGACUGCCGGUGACAAACCGGAAGGAAGGUGGGGAUGACGUCAAAUCAUCAUGCCCCUUAUGAUUUGGGCUACCACGUGCUACAAUGGACAAUACAAAGGGCAGCUAAACCGCGAGGUCAUGCAAAUCCCAUAAAGUUGUUCUCAGUUCGGAUUGUAGUCUGCAACUCGACUACAUGAAGCUGGAAUCGCUAGUAAUCGUAGAUCAGCAUGCUACGGUGAAUACGUUCCCGGGUCUUGUACACACCGCCCGUCACACCACGAGAGUUUGUAACACCCGAAGCCGGUGGA